rnacentral:rRNA from 1 species
GACGAACGCUGGCGGCGUGCUUAACACAUGCAAGUCGAACGGAAAGGCCCUGCUUUUGUGGGGUGCUCGAGUGGCGAACGGGUGAGUAACACGUGAGUAACCUUCCCUUGACUUUGGGAUAACUUCAGGAAACUGGGGCUAAUACCUGAUAGGAGCUCCUGCUGCAUGGUGGGGUUUGGAACGUUUCGGCGGUUGGGGAUGGACUCACGGCUUAUCAGCUUGUUGGUGGGGUAGUGGCUUACCAAGGCUUUGACGGGUAGCCGGCCUGAGAGGGUGACCGGCCACAUUGGGACUGAGAUACGGCCCAGACUCCUACGGGAGGCAGCAGUGGGGAAUAUUGCACAAUGGGCGGAAGCCUGAUGCAGCAACGCCGCGUGCGGGAUGACGGCCUUCGGGUUGUAAACCGCUUUCGCCUGUGACGAAGCGUGAGUGACGGUAAUGGGUAAAGAAGCACCGGCUAACUACGUG